rnacentral:rRNA from 1 species
ACGCUGGCGGCAGGCUUAACACAUGCAAGUCGAACGAUGACUCUCUAGCUUGCUAGAGAAGAUUAGUGGCGGACGGGUGAGUAACAUUUAGGAAUCUGCCUAGUAGUGGGGGAUAGCUCGGGGAAACUCGAAUUAAUACCGCAUACGACCUACGGGUGAAAGGGGGCGCAAGCUCUUGCUAUUAGAUGAGCCUAAAUCAGAUUAGCUAGUUGGUGGGGUAAAGGCCUACCAAGGCGACGAUCUGUAACUGGUCUGAGAGGAUGAUCAGUCACACCGGGACUGAGACACGGUCCGGACUCCUACGGGAGGCAGCAGUGGGGAAUAUUGGACAAUGGGGGCAACCCUGAUCCAGCCAUGCCGCGUGUGUGAAGAAGGCCUUUUGGUUGUAAAGCACUUUAAGCAGGGAGGAGAGGCUAAUGGUUAAUACCCAUUAGAUUAGACGUUACCUGCAGAAUAAGCACCGGCUAACUCUGUGCCAGCAGCCGCGGUAAUACAGAGGGUGCGAGCGUUAAUCGGAAUUACUGGGCGUAAAGCGAGUGUAGGUGGCUCAUUAAGUCACAUGUGAAAUCCCCGGGCUUAACCUGGGAACUGCAUGUGAUACUGGUGGUGCUAGAAUAUGUGAGAGGGAAGUAGAAUUCCAGGUGUAGCGGUGAAGUGCGUAGAGAUCUGGAGGAAUACCGAUGGCGAAGGCAGCUUCCUGGCAUAAUAUUGACACUGAGAUUCGAAAGCGUGGGUAGCAAACAGGAUUAGAUACCCUGGUAGUCCACGCCGUAAACGAUGUCUACUAGCCGUUGGGGUCCUUGAGACUUUAGUGGCGCAGUUAACGCGAUAAGUAGACCGCCUGGGGAGUACGGCCGCAGGGUUAAAACUCAAAUGAAUUGACGGGGGCCCGCACAAGCGGUGGAGCAUGUGGUUUAAUUCGAUGCAACGCGAAGAACCUUACCUGGUCUUGACAUAGUGAGAAUCUUUCAGAGAUGAGAGAGUGCCUUUGGGAACUCACAUACAGGUGCUGCAUGGCUGUCGUCAGCUCGUGUCGUGAGAUGUUGGGUUAAGUCCCGCAACGAGCGCAACCCUUUUCCUUAUUUGCCAGCGGGUUAAGCCGGGAACUUUAAGGAUACUGCCAGUGACAAACUGGAGGAAGGCGGGGACGACGUCAAGUCAUCAUGGCCCUUACGACCAGGGCUACACACGUGCUACAAUGGUAGGUACAGAGGGUUGCUACACAGCGAUGUGAUGCUAAUCUCAAAAAGCCUAUCGUAGUCCGGAUUGGAGUCUGCAACUCGACUCCAUGAAGUCGGAAUCGCUAGUAAUCGCGGAUCAGAAUGCCGCGGUGAAUACGUUCCCGGGCCU